AUGGGGUUACCAGAUGUCAUAGCCUGCUUGGGAAGGACCCAGGAAUUUUGUGUGACCGUCGGCCAGCCAGCACAGGCGAUGCCUCUUUUUCUCUCUGAAAAUUAUAAGUGGGCCCACUCCCGUCCGCUUCCCAAUGGCUGUUCUAAGACACCAGCUCUUCCCAAAGGAAUGCUGACAGUGGAGGAUUCGGGGGGAACUUCAGAAAUGUCACUCCAGUCCAGACCAACGUCCUCUCGCCCUGGCUGCCUCCUGACUUUUGAAGCAGGCUUUACAAUUGUUUUGAUUGUUAAAGAGAUGGAGCACAGGCAACCGGUUCACUAUGAGGGGCCACUUUCUGGUGGGGAGUCAGCAGGCACCCAGCUGGCACCCGUCGUGCAAGGAAGAGGGUGGGAUCCACUUCCAGAGGUAGGCUUUCGAGGUUGGAGUGACUUCUAACUCUGGGCUCCCGGAUGAAGGGAAGAUGAGGCCUCCGUGGAAACCAAAGACACUGGUGCUGGAGGGUCCAGGGAAGGCCCAGGAGGAGGAGGGGCUGGCGGGACGCAGGUCUGCCAGAGUGGCUCUGUUCUCGUCCGCUGUGCAUCCUGGGGUUCUGCGUCCGAUCUCAUGUGUAAAGAGAGUUUGAGGGCGGGAUCCAACGACAAGCAGCUGAUCUAGGCCAGAGCAGACAGUCUCUGGCUUUCUUCCCCUAGCCUCCCUGCCAGCCACUUGCUUGGGUGUGAGCGGGGCCAGUCAACAUUCAUCAGGCAAACACUGACCGAGCAGCCACGAGCUGAAGUUAGACUCGGGCUGGAGGUCAGCAGCAUCGCCCGCACCAAGCGUGGCGACGUGUGGUCCAGUGAGGUCCUGUCCCCAGGGCCUCUGCUGUCGGAUCCCACAGAGGGGGCGGUGAGGCCAAGGUGACACAGAAAUUUCCCCGCAGGGUUUGGCCACAGCUGUCGUUUCAUAAAUACUGCCAA
rnacentral:lncRNA from 1 species